UACGUAGGUGGCAAGCGUUGUCCGGAUUUACUGGGCGUAAAGAGCGCGCAGGCGGUCGUGCAAGUCGCGUGUGAAAGCCCCCGGCUCAACUGGGGAGGGUCACGCGAUACUGCUCGACUCGAAGGCAGGAGAGGGUAGUGGAAUUCCCGGUGUAGUGGUGAAAUGCGUAGAUAUCGGGAGGAACACCAGUGGCGAAGGCGACUACCUGGCCUGUUUCUUGACGCUGAGGCGCGAAAGCUAGGGGAGCAAACGGG
rnacentral:rRNA from 1 species